GUGCCAGCAGCCGCGGUAAUACGGAGGGUGCAAGCGUUGUUCGGAAUUACUGGGCGUAAAGCGCGUGUAGGCGGACCGAUAAGUUGGGAGUGAAAGCCCUGGGCUCAACCCAGGAAGUGCUUCCAAUACUGCCGGUCUUGAGUUCCGGAGAGGGUGGUGGAAUUCCCGGUGUAGAGGUGAAAUUCGUAGAUAUCGGGAGGAACACCAGUGGCGAAGGCGACCACCUGGACGAGAACUGACGCUGAGACGC
rnacentral:rRNA from 1 species